CAAUAGCGUAUAUUAAAGUUGUUGCAGUUAAAAAGCUCGUAGUUGAAUUUCUGUCAGGAGUGACCGGGCCUUUGGAUGAACUUCCAUUGUUUUUUGCUCUGUUUGUCAUCUCUAGACAUCCUGAAAUAUUUUUUAAAAAUAUUUCUCUUUUACUGUUAGCAAAAUAGAGUGUUCCAAGCAAAGCGUAGUUUUGAAUACAUUAGAAUGGAAUAUUAAGAUAGGACUUUGGUGCUAUUUUGUUGGUUUGCACACCAAGGUAAUGAUUAAUAGGGACAGUUGGGGGUAUUCGUAUUUAAUUGUCAGAGGUGAAAUUCUUGGAUUUAUGAAAGACGAACUACUGCGAAAGCAUUUACCAAGGAUGUUUUCAUUAA
rnacentral:rRNA from 1 species